rnacentral:tRNA from 1 species
GGAGGCGUGCCAGAGCGGCCGAAUGGGGCUCACUGCUAAUGAGUUGUCCCUCUUAAGGGGACCGGAGGUUCAAAUCCUCUCGCCUCCGCCG